rnacentral:rRNA from 1 species
UACGUAGGUGGCGAGCGUUUGUCCGGAUUUACUGGGCGUAAAGGGCUUGUAGGCGGUCCGUUAAGUCCGAUGUGAAAUCUCCCGGCUCAACUGGGAGAGGUCAUUGGAUACUGGCGGACUAGAGGGGGUAGAGGAAGCAGAAUUCCUGGUGUAGCGGUGAAAUGCGUAGAUAUCAGGAGGAAUACCAGUGGCGAAGGCGGCUUUCUGGGCCUACCCUGACGCUGAGGAGCGAAAGCGUGGGGAGCAAACCGG